UCUGUUCACAAGCUGUCAACAAGUUGCCUUCGCACUGCUUGUGGGAACAAGCAUAUUCCCAGAUUUAUUAUCUUAGUUUGGAACAAGCUGUUAACAACUUGUAACAAGCUUGAUGGCAUCAUCAGACUAACAAGUCUGAUACAGUCAUGAUAAACAAGAAUGUUACAAGGUUGACGAUAGGGUUGGGCGAUAUUAAAAAAAUCAUCUCACGAAUAUUGUGGAGGAAAUUAUCGCGAUAUUCGAUAAUAUCGCGAUAAAUGCAAUAAAAACAAUGACAAUAAAACAACAAAUUAAAGUAAUAAGAAGGCUUUUUCUUGUCUAAUUUUUACUGUUCAUAAACCUGAACUGUCUAUGCAGUGUCUAGUGUGUCUCCACGGACACAAAUGCCGUGGGCACACAGGCGCAAGAAUAGCAUGCAAUUUCAUUGUUCAGCAGAUUAAUUCUUUUAAAAACUAUAUUUUCUAGAAAUUGAAGGAAUUUUUUAGGAUUAUAUAAAAGCUAUAUACACAUGCGAAGCAAUAUCACGAUAGUCAACGAGCUUGACGAUAAUUUCGAUAUAUCGUUGCUCAAGUUUCUACCUUCGAUACGAUAAUCACGAUUGAAAAUAUCACGAUAAAUCAAAAUAUCGAAAUAUCGCCCAACCCUAGAACUUGACGACACAAGGUUGUAUAACAAUACUGCUAUAUCAUGACUGUAUCAGACUUGUUGGAACAACCUUGUAACAAGCCUGAUAAUAUCAACAAGGUUGUUACAAAUUGUUAACAGCUUGUUCCAAACUUGUUGACAACUUGUGACAAGCAGUGCGAAGACAACUUGUUGACGGCUUGUUGACAAACUUGUUACAAGAUGUGAGAUUUUUGCAUGUGUAGACGGCAUAGUACAAAACAUGGACUGGACCCAUGGACUGGACCCAAAAUUGGACCCAAAAUUGGACUCAAAAUUGGACCCAAAAUUGGACUCAAAAUUGGACUCAAAAUUUUAACCAAAAUUUUGCCCAAAAAUCCAUUAUUUUAUCGGAGAGAAACAACCCUCAGAAUAUCGUGCUAUGAUUUAAUUUGUAUAGGCAAAAAACUUCACGUUCCAUCACUUUUCC